rnacentral:rRNA from 1 species
CCUACGGGAGGCAGCAGUGAGGAAUAUUGGUCAAUGGACGAGAGUCUGAACCAGCCAAGUAGCGUGAAGGAUGACUGCCCUAUGGGUUGUAAACUUCUUUUAUAUGGGAAUAAACUGUUCCACGUGUGGGAUUUUGUAUGUACCAUAUGAAUAAGGAUCGGCUAACUCCGUGCCAGCAGCCGCGGUAAUACGGCGGAUCCGAGCGUUAUCCGGAUUUAUUGGGUUUAAAGGGAGCGUAGGGGGCUUGUUAAGUGAGUUGUGAAAGGUUGCGGCCCAACCGUAGAAUUGCAGUGGAAACUGGCAGUCUUGAGUACAGUAGAGGUAGGCGGAAUUCGUGGUGUAGCGGUGAAAUGCUUAGAGAUCACGAAGAACUCCGAUUGCGAAGGCAGCUCACUGGACUGCAACUGACACUGAGGCUCGAAAGUGUGGGUAUCAAACAGGAUUAGAUACCCGUGUAGUC